UUUGAUAUAAGAAAAGUCAUUUUAGGCCCCCCAGCACCUUAUGAAAGAAUCUAAGAACAAAAUAGCCACUGUCAGGCCAGGAGAUAACCUAGUCAUAUCAGGGACAAUAAAUCAGUGGUAAAACUCCUAGUGCUGAUUCAGAAGUGAAGACUGACCUGACACACAUUCUUGAGUUAUCUUUGCAGGAUCUAAACACCUUUGAGCACUCAGAUAUUGGACCAACUAGAGCCAGAGACUGGUUGAUGUUGACCCUUGUUGGCCCUCCUGACUUUUACCUGGACUCUCUCACCUUAAGAUGAUUUUGCCCCACUUCCUUGCUGUAUUUCCCGCAGCACAACCCCUUUCAUGAAUAUGUAUGCACUCUUAGCUUAAAACUUCCCUAGUUUUAUUGUUUGAGGAGACGCUGCUUUGGGGAAAUUCCUGGUGUUCUCCUUUACUUGUUGCAAGCAAAACCCUUCCUUUUCCUAUUCUUUGGCUUAGUUGUGUCUUUUGGCCUGACACCCACCAAGAAGCAAACACAGUUUCAGGUAACAGUUACAUUUCUGGUCAUGUUUUAGUGCCCUUUAUUGGACUGGCAUCCUGACAAACGGCUGCCUGGAAUACCCCUCAUCUCCAGUUCUAGCGGUGAUCACUGGCUGUGCAGCAGGCCACAAUGUCUGGCACGUGAUAAGUACUUAUGCAUACAUGAAGGAAAGAGUUUUUCUCUUUGGCAGUGUGUGUUGGAUUGCUUUGUUUGAGAGACAUUCCAGGUACUGACAUGGAGGGGCCUCACCAAAGAAAGAAAUGGUGUUAUUUUAUAACUGAAAUCUCAACUCUAUGGUAGCUUUGCAGAAACCCUCAAGACGUAGGUGAGUUUAGCUCAAAACCUUUUCUACAAGAAAACAAGCCUCUGAAAUAAGAGGCAAUUGUUUAAAUUCUCAUUCUUCUUCUUCUCUCUCCCUAGUCUGAUGAUGUUGACCAGAAGCUUCUCCAUCCUAUUGAAUUGAAUGUCUGAGACAGUCAUGUGGUCAAGCUUUCAGUUAAUGCACAACAAAGAACUGCAGCCACAUAUUGCCACUGUAACGAAAGGCUGAUGGAAACACAUUCUAGUGAGCUGCAGAAAUCAAGGACAUGAAGCAAAAAAAAAAAUAUAUUAAAGACUUUUUGUAUCCAAGAAAAUGAUGAAUUACUCUUUGGAGUUAGGAUUUUCAAAUAACUUUCUGGACAAUUCUCAUUCUUGUUGGUGAAAUAUUCUGCUUUAGAUUUUUUAAUUUUGGGGGUCAGAUUAUUUUCUAAGAGCAGUAAAGAAUAUUAAAUUAUAAGCAUAAGGGGAAAAAAUUUUAACACAACAAACAGAUCUGAAAUUUUAC
rnacentral:lncRNA from 1 species